rnacentral:rRNA from 1 species
UGGGGAAUCUUGCGCAAUGGGCGAAAGCCUGACGCAGCCAUGCCGCGUGAAUGAUGAAGGUCUUAGGAUUGUAAAAUUCUUUCACCGGGGGCGAUAAUGACGGUACCCGGAGAAGAAGCCCCGGCUAACUUCGUGCCAGCAGCCGCGGUAAUACGAAGGGGGCUAGCGUUGCUCGGAAUUACUGGGCGUAAAGGGAGCGUAGGCGGACAUUUAAGUCAGGGGUGAAAUCCCGGGGCUCAACCUCGGAAUUGCCUUUGAUACUGGGUGUCUUGAGUGUGAGAGAGGUAUGUGGAACUCCGAGUGUAGAGGUGAAAUUCGUAGAUAUUCGGAAGAACACCAGUGGCGAAGGCGACAUACUGGCUCAUUACUGACGCUGAGGCUCGAAAGCGCGGGGAGCAAACAGGAUUAGAUACCCUGGUAGUCCACGCCGUAAACGAUGAUUGCUAGUUGUCGGGAUGCAUGCAUUUCGGUGACGCAGCUAACGCAUUAAGCAAUCCGCCUGGGGAGUACGGUCGCAAGAUUAAAAACUUAAAGGAAUUGACGGGGUCAUAGCUGUUUCCUG